GGGAAUUUUUUGUCGAAUUUGCUGAAGACGAAGCACUGACUGCAGGCCAGAACGGAGUCAUUUGCAGAGCCACCUGAAAGAAGAACUAAAUAAUAAAGUUAAAUAGCGGGCCAGCGGCACAAGCAGCCACACAGGCGGCGAAGCAGGCGGGAAGAGAGUCGUCGUGAAAGACUCAGAGUACACAGGUACGUAGAAUAAUGGUAAAAUAUAUAUUUAAAUUGUGCUUCGUUGCCUUCGUGUAUUUUCGCGUUAUAAACACGUUUGUGUUACUAACUUUCUGUAAGAACAUGUGAAUUUCCCGUUUUCCUCCCGCAGGGACAGUAGCAGGCAGGCGGUUAUGAAGCAGACGAGGAGUCGUGAGGCCACAGGAGUGACGUUCCACUGAUCUACAUGGAGUUUAAUAGGAUUGCUGGUAAGAACUUGAAAAAGGGAAUUUAACGAGACCCUUGACCAACAUAGUACAUGCCUCUUGGACAUUUUCAGAGCCAAAAAGGGAGUUGCUGGUCAGCUCUUGAUGAACCUUCUGAAGCAAACAAAGCUAUCAGAGCCAACAGAAGUCCGAACUCUGGUGCUUCAAGGACUACCCCUUUGGUUUGGAGAUGACUCUCCUGCUUUCUUUAAGACAUGUUUGCUCAAUUCUUGAUGUGCCAGUGGGGAUUGUGAUAGUUGAAGCUGGGACGACUCUUAAGCCCCUCAACUCUCUGCAUUCGUCUCCCUCUUCGAUUGGAAUAGUAAUCGAGGGAAAAUUAGGGAUGGACAAUCUACAUGACCUUCCUGAAGCAAUGUGCCUUCUGUUCUGACUAAUUUAUGCAUUGCACCUGAGUUACCCAAAGUCGCUGAUAUACACGUUUGACUUCAUUCAGCGCAUUCUACUUUCCUUGGGGCAGAAAGACCUGCAGCCUAAAACACAGUCUUUGGCAAACCAGCUGUUUGGUUAAAAUGGAGAAAUUGCAUAACGCACUUUUAAUAGCAACAGAUUUACAUUACACAUGGUCUUUUGAAAAUGAGACUGUUAAAAAUACGAGUUUACUGUUUUACUCAUGUGUCUUUUAAAAAUGAGCUUACUGUUUUGCUCGUGUUUUGUAAAUUGUGAGCUUACUGUUAUGAAUAUGAGCUUACUGGGUUUUUUUUUAAUGUGAGCUCAAUGUUUUGUAAAAAUGUUAGCUUACUGUUAAACAUGAGCUUAUUUUUUUUAAUGUGACUUAAAAAUGCAGCUUACUGUUAAAAAUUAGCUUACUGUUAAAAAUAUGAGCUUAAAGUGCCAUUCAAGUGUCUUAAUGUGGCUUAAAAAUAUAAGCUUGAUGUGAGCAAUGUUUCCUAAAUUAAUGUACAUGUAUAAACCAAAUAAAGCAGUUUAUGGAAAUACAA